rnacentral:snRNA from 1 species
AGACUUACCUGCCAGGCAGAUGCUAUGAUCACGAAGGUGGUUUUCCCAGGACAAGGCUUAUCCACUGCACUCCAGAUGUGCUGACUAUUGUGAUUUCCCAAAAUGUGGGAAACUUGACUGCAUAAUUAGUAUGGCUAAGAAUUUUUAUAUUCUCA